rnacentral:rRNA from 1 species
UACGUAGGGUGCAAGCGUUAAUCGGAAUUACUGGGCGUAAAGCGUGCGCAGGCGGUUUUGUAAGUCAGAUGUGAAAUCCCCCGGGCUUAACCUGGGAACUGCGUUUGAAACUACAAGGCUAGAGUGUGGCAGAGGGGGGUGGAAUUCCACGUGUAGCAGUGAAAUGCGUAGAGAUGUGGAGGGAACACCGGAUGGCGAAGGCAGCCCCCUGGGUUAACACUGACGCUCAGGCACGAAAGCGUGGGGAGGCAAACAGGGAUUAGAACCGACCG